AUACGUAGGUGGCAAGCGUUGUCCGGAAUUAUUGGGCGUAAAGCGCAUGUAGGCGGUUUGGUAAGUCGGUCGUGAAAAUGCGGUGCUUAACGCCGUAUGGCGAUUGAAACUGCUGAACUUGAGUGCAGGAGAGGAAAGGGGAACUCCCAGUGUAGCGGUGAAAUGCGUAGAUAUUGGGAAGAACACCGGUGGCGAAGGCGCCUUUCUGGAUGUUGUCUGACGCUCGGAUGCGAAAGCCAGGUUGGCGAACGGGAUUGGAUACCCCGGUAGUCCUGGCCGUAAACGAUGGGUACUAGGUGUGGGAGGUACCGACUCCUUCCGUGCCGGAGUUAACGCAAUAAGUACCCCGCCUGGGGAGUACGGCCGCAAGGCUUAAACUCAAAUGAAUUGACGGGG
rnacentral:rRNA from 1 species